CGCUGGCGGCGUGCCUAACACAUGCAAGUCGAGCGAGAAUUUAAGAAAUGAUUCCUUCGGGAUGAAUUUCUUAAAGGAGAGCGGCGACGGGUGAGUAACGCGUGAGCAACCUGCCUUAAGGAGGGGGAUAACACAGAGAAAUCUGUGCUAAUACCGCAUAAUACAUUUUUACUGCAUGGUAGAGAUGUCAAAACUCCGGUGCCUUAAGAUGGGCUCGCGUCCGAUUAGCUAGUUGGUGAGGUAAUGGCUCACCAAGGCGACGAUCGGUAGCCGGACUGAGAGGUUGAACGGCCACAUUGGGACUGAGACACGGCCCAGACUCCUACGGGAGGCAGCAGUGGGGGAUAUUGCGCAAUGGGGGAAACCCUGACGCAGCAACGCCGCGUGAAGGAAGAAGGUCUUCGGAUUGUAAACUUUUGUCUUUUGGGACGAAUAAUGACGGUACCAAAGGAGGAAGCCACGGCUAACUACGUG
rnacentral:rRNA from 1 species